CAAUAAUUACCCUGCUAUACUAUAGAAAACAAGAUCUAAUUCCUUCUCUCUGUAUUUGGGUGUCCCUUGUUUAAUUUCUUUCUGUCUCUGCCUCCCACUGCCCUUCUCAGUCUCUAGUGACCACUCUUCUGCUCUGUUCUUCCAUAAGAUUGACAUUUUAGUUUCCACAAGUUAGUGAGAACAAGGAAAAGCAAUUUUAUAAGGCUCAAAACGUAGCUUUCCAGGUCAGUGUAGAUCCAUUAUUGUAUGCCUCUAUAUUUUCAAACAGUGAAAUUAGCACCCCCAUUCCCACCUAGGGUUUGGGCAGAGUUUGGGGAGAGGGAUCUUCCCUUGAAGACCAUGGUAACCAAAGUCCAAGAUGCCCUCCAGGCAUCCCCACCUCCUGUUUUAACACCCUGUCCAGUCACCUCCCACAUGGUACCAGAGGUGGUCUGUGUGGCCAGCAGAACACAAGAGAAGUUAUGGUAUGUCACUUCCUGGAUCAGGUUAUAAAAGACACUGCAGCUUCUUCCUUGGUCUCUAUUUUUCCCCCUCUUUUCUGAAUAUCAGGAAAUAUGCUCUAGGGGAAGCCCGCUGCCAUGGUCAUGAGGAACCCUUACAGAGAGACCCAUACAAUAAAGAACAGAGCCUACUGUCAACUGCCAGUGCCAACUUGUGCCAACUUGCUGGUCCUGUGGGUGCACCAACCUGGGAGCAGAUCCUCCAGCCCAGGUGGAGCCUUCAGAGACUGAAUCCUCAGCCAACAACCUGACCUCACAAGAGACCAUGAGCCAGACCAUCAACUAAGUCACUCCUUAGCUCUGCGAGAUAAUAAAUGCUUAUUAUUUUAAGCUGCCAAAUGUUGCAGUAAUGCUAUAAUUUCGAUAAGUGUCCCCCAAAGAUCUAUGUGUUAAAAGCUUGGUUGCCAACAUGUGGUGCCAUUGGAAGGUGCUGGAAAUUUAGGAGAUGUGGCCUAGUAGAAGGAAAUCAGGUCAUUGGGGGUGUGACCUGGAAGGGGAUAUUGAGAGCCGGGCCCCUUCCUGUCUCUUUUUGUUUUGCUUCUGUCUGCCAUGAGGUUAGCAGAUUCUCUCACUAUGUCAUCACACUAUGACGUAUUGCCUCAAAAGCAAUGGGACCUACUGACCAUAUACCGAAACCUCUAAAAUCA
rnacentral:lncRNA from 1 species